CCGAGAUUUUAGUGCUCAAUGGAGGAAUGCUUCCAUCCCCUAAACCGAAUACGAUUCCAUGAAUUGAAAGUUGGAGGUGCUAUGUAGCCACCACAGGCUUCCUGAUGCCACUGGGUAAAAGGUGAAAAUGAUACCAUCUAGUAUUCAGUAUGGUAAUCAGUGACAAAAUUACGUAUAAAUAACAGUAGCUUUGUGUAAUAGGCAAUAAUCAGUAAUAAAAUUCAAUGGGAAAAGAUUGCUUUCACGGCAACAACAAAAAAUACAAAACUGAAUAAUUGGGAAGAUAUAAUAUGAUCCUUUAUAGAAAGACUUUAUGUUAUCAGUUGUAAGUUUCGUUCCAAAUUAUUCAAUAAGAGAACUUGAUAAGACAAUUUUAUUAUUAAAAUUUUUUUUAAUGAUCCAUUUAUUUACAAUUAAAAAAACUUUUAGGUUCAGGGGUAUAUGUGAAGGUUUGUUAUAUAGGGAAACUCUUGUCACGGGUUUGUUGUACAGAGUACUUCAUCACCAAUAGGUACUUUUUCUGCUCCUCUCCCUCUUCCCAUCCUCCACCCUCAAGUAGACCCUAGUGUCUGUUCCCUUCAUUGUGUUCAUGAGUUCUCAUCAUUUAGCUCCCACUCACAACUGAGAACCUGUGGUAUUUGGUUUUCUGUUCCUGAAUUAGUUUGCUAAGGAUAAUAGCCUCCAGCUCUAUCCAUGUUCCUGAGACAUGAUCUCAUUGUUUCUUAUGGCUGCAUACUAUUCCAUGGUGUAUGUGUACCAUAUUUUCUUUAUCCAAUCUGUUACUGAUGGGCACUUAGGUUGAUUCUGUAUCUUUGCUAUUGUGAAUAGUGCUGCAGUGGACAUUUGCAUGCAUGUGUCUUUAUGGUAGAAUGAUUUAUAUUCCUCUGGGUAUGUACCCAGUAAUGGGAUUGCUGGGUGGAAUGGCAGUUCUGCUUUUAGCACUAUGAGGAGUUGCCACACUGCUUUCCACAGUGGUUGAACUAAUUUACACUCCCAUCAAUAGUGUAUAAAUGUUCCCUUUUCUCCACAACCUUACUAGCUGUUAUUUUUUGACUUUUUAGAAAGAGGCAUUUUGACUGGUGUGAGAUGGUGUCUCAUUGUAGUUUUAAUUUGCAUGUCUCUAACGAUCAGUGAUAUUGAGCUUUUAAAACAUGCUUGUUGGCCGCAUGUGUAUCUUCUUUUGGAAAGUGUCUUUUCAUCCGGGCAUGGUGGCUGAUGCCUGUAAUCCCAGCACUUUGGGAGGCCGAGGUGGGUGGAUCACCUGAGGUCGGGAGUUCAAGACCAGCCUGACCAAUGUGGAGAAACCCCGUCUCUACUAAAAUACAAAAUCAGUCAGGUGGUGCAUGCCUGUAAUCCCAGCCACCUGGGAGGCUGAGGCAGGAGAAUUGCUUGAACCCGGGAGGCAGAGGUUGUGGUGAGCCAAGAUCACGCCAUUGCACUCUGGCCUGGGCAACAAGAGUGAAACUCCAUCUUAAAAAAAAAAAGUGUCUUUCAUGUCCUUUGCCCACUUUUUAAUGGGGUUAUUUCUUUUUGUCUUGUAAAUUUGUUUAAGUUCCCUAUAGAAGCUGGCUAUUAGACCUUUGUCAGAUGCAUAGUGUGCAAAUAUUUUCUCCCAUUUUGUAGGUUGUCUGUUUACUCUGUUGAUUGUUUCUUUUGCUGUGCAGAAUCUCUUAAGUUUAAUUAGAUCCCAUUUGUCAAAUUUUGCUUUUGUUGCUAUUGCUUUUGUCUUUAUCAUGAAAUCUUUGCCUGUUCCUAUGUCCAGGAUGGUAUUGCCUAGGUUGUCUUCCAGAGUCUUCAUAGUUUUUGAUUUUACAUUAAGUCUUUAAUUGAUCUUGAGUUGAUUUUUGUAUAUGGUGUAAGGAAGAGGUCUAGCUUCAAUCUUCUAUCCCAGUUAUCCCAGCACCAUUUAUAAAAUAGGGAGUCUUUUUCCCAUUGCUUGUUUUUAUCGACGAUCAGAUGGUCAUAGGAGUGUGGUCUUAUUCUGU
rnacentral:lncRNA from 10 species